AUCAGAACACAAUUCAGGAAGACAUUAAAUAAGUCAAGCAUUUGCAUUUGCUGUUCACUGUAGGUCCUUGCGGUCUGCUGCGCUGCUGUGUGUGUGUGUGUUAUGAAAACGUGUGCAGUCUGUUUGCACCAUUGCAGCAUACCACGACUCAAUGGCCUUGUAGUUCAUCUAAACACGGGCAUUUCUGAAUUGUAUGUUACGUUAUAAAUCUGAAAAACUAAUUCUCGUUAACAAAUUAUCCUCAUAACGUAACAUUAAGGACAUUACAUGUUUGUCUUAUAGGUGCACGUGUGUGUAAGCAUACAUAGUCUGUAUGAUCCUUUUUUGACCAUCUCUUUCGUUUUUCUGGAGUGAGGUGGUCUAUCAUUCAUUAGCCGUGUUUGCACUAUCGGGCUUCAAGCAGGCGUGCCAGUGCCUGCCGAGGCCUGGGGCGUUUGCAUUGUCACUUCCGGGGCAUGAUCGUGCUUCACUGGUGCUUCGUUGGUGCUUAAGGCCCGGCUUUUCUGGCCCGCCGAAAUCGUUGGGCCAGAUCGGGCUUCUCGGGGCUAGGGGAGUGGUAAAGGUCAAAGGCGGAGUUUAUCUGAACUCUGGCAAGAUGCGCAUCCAUCUGUCUGCAGAUUUAAAACUUUAAAAAUAACCGGGAUCACCAGUAAUUUACUGUUUCACGGAAGAUGCCUGCUAUGUUUGUACUUCGGACUGAAGAAAAUGAUCUGCAUAUGUAAAAAACAAACACGCGUUACAACGCCGAACUCCCCAUGCUAAGGAUCCGGCGCACACCGCUACCGGUUCGGGAGAAGUUUAUAAAGUUUCGGGCACAGAACAAAGUGUUUAAAGUGCAACAGUGCUGAGAAAUUAAAGAUGUGUGUUGAAUCAUCAUUUCAUCGUCCAUCACUCCAUGUAUUAAAGCGAUCGAGUCACGAUGGUAUCCACAGUCGAAAAAUGCCAACGUAAAGCUUUCAGUUUGUCAUCCAGGAGUUUUUAUUUUGUAUAUGAGAGAUGAUACAGCAACAGAUGAAAGAGCAGGAGAUGAAACGAAGAUGAUGAUGAUGAGACGACAGGAGCCAUGGAUGUUGAAAUCCGUCCGGAGGAGAUGUCUUUAAAUACACCUGUCUGUGCACUGAUAUAAACUUCAUAUGUAAAUAAAGUACCGCGUUAUUAUUA